rnacentral:rRNA from 1 species
UACGAAGGGUGCAAGCGUUACUCGGAAUUACUGGGCGUAAAGCGUGCGUAGGUGGUUCGUUAAGUCUGAUGUGAAAGCCCUGGGCUCAACCUGGGAAUGGCAUUGGAAACUGGCGACCUAGAGUGCGGUAGAGGGUAGUGGAAUUCCCGGUGUAGCAGUGAAAUGCGUAGAGAUCGGGAGGAACAUCCGUGGCGAAGGCGACUACCUGGACCAGCACUGACACUGAGGAGCGAAAGCGUGGGGAGCGAACAGG